UGCUGUUGCAUGCUACCUGGCUAAUCU
rnacentral:piRNA from 1 species